GCCAUAUCACAUUGAAACACCAAUUCUCAUCCGAUUACUGAAGUUAAGCAAUGUUGAGCCUGAGCAGUACCCAUAUGGGUGACUGCUUGAAAAUACCAGGUGCUGUAA